CACGUAGGGGGCGAGCGUUGUCCGGAUUUAUUGGGCGUAAAGAGCUCGUAGGCGGUUCAGCAAGUCGGGUGUGAAACCCCCAGCUCAACCUGGGGACGCCAUCCGACUACUGUUGUGACUCGAGUCCGGUAGGGGAGCGUGGAAUUCCUGGUGUAGCGGUGAAAUGCGCAGAUAUCAGGAGGAACACCAGCGGCGAAGGCGGCGCUCUGGGCCGGUACUGACGCUGAGGAGCGAAAGCGUGGGGAGCAAACAGG
rnacentral:rRNA from 1 species